AUGAACCAUCUGCAAAAACUCGAAGUCCUUGACCUGAGCGUCAACCGGUUGCAUGAUAGUAUCUCAGAUGCAAUUAUCAACUGCUCCAGCUUAAGGGAAAUCGAUCUUAAUACAAACUUCCUAGUAGGCGAAAUUCCUCCAAAAGUAGGCCUCCUCUCCAAUCUCUCACUUUUGCGACUUUGCUGGAAUAAUCUCACCGGGAUCAUCCCGCCAAUCCUCGGCAACAUCACAAGCAUACAAAGACUUGGCCUUGCGUACAAUAAUCUAACUGGACGUAUUCCUAAUGAGUUUGGGAAACUGACAAAUGUGUGGAGGUUGAACCUAGGGGGAAAUAGGUUGUUAGUUGGAUUCCCUUGGUUUCUCUUCAAUCUUUCUAAAUCUCUUCAAAUAUUAGGCUUGGAGUCAAAUAUGCUAAACAAUACACUACCACCUACCAUAGGCAACGACCUACCAAAUCUCCAAGAGCUUUACUUGAAUAGCAACAUGUUUGAAGGUCAAAUACCGGCUUCACUAGGCAAUGCUACAUGGCUGCAAACGCUAGAAUUAGGAAAUAACAAUUUCACUGGUGAAAUUACAAGCUCUUUAGGCAAACUUUCAAAACUUCAUUUAUUAUACCUUGGGUUUAACAAUCUUGAAGCUAUUGAAAGCCAAAUCUGGGAAUUCUUUAGCGCGUUAACAAACUGCACUAGUCUCGAAGCACUGUCGCUAUAUGAAAAUCAGCUACAUGGAGCUAUACCGAAUAUGAUAGGUAACUUCUCCCGUAGCCUCACUAAAUUAUAUCUUGGUCGAAACAAUCUUUUGGGGAAGUUGCCCCCAAGCAUAGGGAAUCUUGGAAGCUUGUUUUCUCUAGUACUUGAAGAUAACAAUUUAACAGGUACGAUUGCACAAUGGAUUGGGAAGCUAACACAGUUACAAAUUCUUUCCCUCCAAGCGAACAGCUUCAUUGGGACAUUGCCAUCAUCCCUUGGCCAGCUUACUCAGUUGACAUAUCUCGAUCUAGGAAACAAUAAACUUGGAGGCCCUAUACCACCCGCCUUAGGGAACUUGAAACAACUCUCGCUUUUAGACCUUGGUCAGAACAAUCUUGAGGGUAACAUACCUAUUCAGGUUGGUAGCCUUACAUCACUUUACAAACUAGAUCUUUCGUCAAACAAUCUUACUAGUAAAAUUACUGAUACUCUGUUCAAAUGUCAGAACAUACAAACCAUGCAAAUGGCCAAACCUUUCAGUACAAUCUAA
rnacentral:rRNA from 1 species